UGGCAACACUGGCUGCUCUAGCGCCUGGCGGGGUCUCACGGGCGGGCCUGGGCGCACGGCCAAAGCGCCAGGUCUCCACCCCCAGCCCCCGGCGUCCUGCAGCCGGAGCCUGCCUCGCCUGGCUCCUGCGCCCGCCGUCCAGGGCCCCUGUCCAAGCUCGCGGACGCCGGCGGCGUUUUCCAGCUCGAGUGCUCAGCCUAGGGCAGGCUCUGCGUGCGCCCCCUCGAGUGCCGGCCUGGGCCCUGCCAGGCAGAGGCGCUCUUGCGUCAGGACGGCGCCGCCGGGGCCCCGCGAUUCCAACUCGGGGGUCCCGGAGCGGCGCGGGGCGGGGACGGCCUGGCAGCUCCCAGCAGCGAGGGGCGAUCCCCGCCCGCGCAGCAGACCCCGAGCUGCCCAGGCCCUUCCUGCGCCACGUGUACCCAGAGCUCCGCCCGGGGGAGACUUCGCUGCUUGUUGGAGAUGCCCAGCGGUAGGGGGCGAGGACUCGGGAGGAAGAUAAACGGGGGAUCCCGUGUCUGGACUUUCUCCUCCACCCUCUUCCCUUCGCAGCUGUGAAUCCUGGGAGGGGAAGGGUGGCCGCCCCGCCAGCAGAGAGCUGAAGGUGUUCCGUGGUCAGUGAGGGCUGGCACUGGCUCUGCACGAAGAUCUCCUCACCUCCCCAGCGGCUCCUGGCCAGCUCCCCACGGAGAGCCCAGGACACUUGUCCCUGGACACAGUGGUGCAGCCAUGCUUGGGCCAAACCAUGAGGCCACCAGAACCGCGAAAGGCUACUGUACUGAGAGGGAUACUGCGAGAGAGGCCCACAGGUUUCCAAGCAUCCCUCUCACUCCGCACACUCAUCUCCACGACCGGCUUUAAGUGCGGCCUUGAGGCCUGGCUCCCUGUUUGGACUUCUCUGCACCUCCAGGAGCUCACUUCCCGUCACAGCUGGAUGCCUCCUCCCGCAGGCACCUCCCGGGCAUCCUCCCGCCCCAGGCUGCACCUUCUGUGGGACUGGCCCCCGCAGGCACCUCCCGGGCACCCUCCCGCCCCAGGCUGCAGCUUCUGUGGGACUGAGCCCCGCAGGCACCUCCCCGGCAUCCUCCCGCCCCAGGCUGCACCUUCUGUGGGACUGAGCCCCGCAGGCACUUCCCCGGCAUCCUCCCGCCCCAGGCUGCAGCUUCUGUGGGACUGACCUUAAGACCCCAUCGGUUCCUCCUGAGAGCAGCAGAUCUCAGCCAGAUGCUGCCGGGAGGGAGGUGCUAGCGUCCACACCCAGACGGGUCCAGUCCAGCCCUGCUCUCCCUGGUCUCCAGGCAGGGCCCUCCCAGGGUGGACAUUGCCCAUCUCUGCCUGGCCAGGGGCUGCUGACCCACUGGUUCCAGAGUCUGAGCCUGUCCUGCACAAGUACCAUGGACAGGGGUCAGCCGGGCACUGAAGAGGCGUGGCAGAAUUGGGCAGGGCAAGGGCCCCAGCUGGCAAGCUGGAGUCAGGGCAAUUCCAACCAAGAAACUGCGGCAGGCCGGGUGCAGUGUCUCAAGCCUAUAAUCCCAGCACUUUGGGAGGCAGUGGGAGAAUCGCUUGAGCCCGGGAGUUUGAGACCAGCAUUGGUAACAUAGAGACCCUAUCGCUACAAGAAAAAAAAAAAAAAAAAGCUGGGCAUGGUGGUGCACACCUGUUGUCCCAGCUAUUCAGGAGGCUGACGUGGGAGGAUUGCUUGUGCCCAGGGGUUGCAGGCUGCAGUGAGCUGUGAUCAUACCACUGCACUCCAGCCUGGGCGACAGAGAACCUCUCUAAAAAAAAAGGAAAAUGAAAAAUAAAUGGGGGCAGAAGCUGAGCCAAGCAGAGGCGGGCAGCUCCUCCUCCAGGGCCCACCUGGCCUGCUGGGGACUCACUCCAAACCGCUUCAUUUUUGGAGGGGGCUUUCCAGGACUGAGAGGUGUCAGAGCUGCUGGUGACAGGAGCAGGGAAAGCACCAUCUGGCCAGCCCCCAGGGGCCCCCUGUAGGGUUCCUCUGCCUGGCAGCGUUUCGACGCUUCUUGGCAGGAUCCUUGGGUCCUUGGCCCCCGGCACCAUCUCCCUCCUUGACCUGCUGAGGCCCACAUAAAACAUGUUGCUACUUGGGGUGGGCCCGUCCUCACGCUCUGUGGCUUCCUGGGUGUCCACCUCCCCACAGCCUGCCUCACCUACCUCCCCAGACUUCUCACGCACGUCAGGAGCCUCCUGUGGACUCUGGCUCUACCUGCCUCUGGCCUCUGCUUAAUCAGGAACCCACAGUGGGAAAGCUCCUAGGGCCCGCCUGCUGAAGCAAACGCCUCCUUGCAAAGCCCGUCUGCAGCCCCCCACACACCUCCUCACCUCCCUGUGCUUCCUCUGGAGCCCAAGACCAGUCUGCCUCACUUGAAACCCGCGUCGCCUGCUGGCUUCCCUUGUGUCCCCGGACCAGAAGCACCUUUGGCAGCCCCGCGCCCCUCGUCUUGCUCUGCGUCAGCACCUGAGAAUGGGCGCUAGCAGGGAAACUGGCUUUGAGGGGAAUGGUCGGGGCAGCUUUGGUCCUGG
rnacentral:lncRNA from 10 species